rnacentral:rRNA from 1 species
GGCCCUUAUGUCCAGGGCUACACACGUGUUACAAUGGCCGGUACAGAGGGCAGCUACCUGGUGACAGGAUGCUAAUCUCGAAAACCGGUCUCAGUUCGGAUCGAAGUCUGCAACUCGACUUCGUGAAGCUGGAUUCGCUAGUAAUCGCGCAUCAGCCAUGGCGCGGUGAAUACUUCCCGGGGGCUU